UGCACUAUCUCUCAUUUAAUAAAUUAAUAUGCAUGGAAAAAAUAUUCAAAUAUUAAUAUAAUACUUAAAUCAAGCAGAAUUUGGUUACACAAUUCCAUUAAGGAGGAAGACCAUGAUAAGGGACAUAACUCUUUAAAUCAUAGGUAUGUUUGGAACUAUCAUAACAAUUACAUUUGAGCUGCAUCGGAUAGAAAUAGACCUGAUGCAAAUGAAUAUUAAUACAUCUUGUAACCUAUUUUGGUUUAAAAAAUCUCUAUGGAAAGUCUGUAAAUGUUUGAAAAUUGAGCUGUUAUAAGAAAAUCUACAAAACAUAUCAAAAUUCAUCUUUUAUUUCGUAAUUUUGUUUUUGAAUGUGCCAAAAAUAAUUCAAAGUUUUACUUAUGUAGAUGUAUACAUGCAUAAGGUCGAUUUCUAUCGGACACAGCUUAUUUAUUGUUAUUAUGGUUCACCUGAAUGCUUUAAUAAUACACAAUUAUGAAACUACAAACAAGUGUAUUACUGAUUUAUGAGUUAUCUCCCUUAGCUGUCUUAGACCUCCACCCUGUAGUCUUGAAAUAAUAUUUUGUAAACAUUUUACAUUUGUAAUAUCUAAAUUUUAAGACAAACUACUAUAGUUCCAUGGAAAUGCAUAAAGAGGUUUUGAAAUUGAUGGUCCUAAAUUUCAGGCAUUUAUUAUUAGUACCACAAGAACUUUUAUUGAUAAAAAAAUGUUACAAUCAUUAACAAAUACAUUUAUCACAGAUCAAUUUUCUAUAAACAAUAAUAUAAUUCAAUUAAAAUGUCAAUUGUUCUUGAACAAUUGAGAGGUCUUUCCUUUUAUAAUGUAAAAUAUAUGUUCCAAUAGACGUAGAAUGUAUUGAAAAGCUUUAAAACACACUGAAAAUCCUUUAAAUAAGGUCAAAAACACAUAAUUCGCUAUAUGGGACAUGACCUUGACCUUUGACCUUUUGACCUUUGUCAAGGUCAUUAGUCCCCAAUGUCAUUGCUGAAGACCCCAUGGGUCUAGGACCUUUGGUUAUAUAGUAAAAGCUGAUUUUGUCUUUUCAGAAACCUAAAACAGGAUUUAUGCCCCUUAAAAAAAGGUCAAAUCUCUUCUGUCAAAAUAUAACAAAGUUGCGCCGUAAUGACCCAAACAUUUUCCACUAUUUAAAACUUCUGUAAGUAUAAUGGUUUUUGAGUUGUUCUGAUAACAAGGUGUUAGGUCAAAGGUCAAGGUCAACAUACACAUUUGACCUUGAGGUAUUUUUGAAAGUCUCAUGAAUUGUUGAUGAAUGGUGAAGAUCCUAGGUCUCUACGAUUUACGGUUUCUGAGUUUUGGUGGUCCACCGACACCGGUUAAUUUUCAAAGGGGCAUAACCCUACCAAUGAGUCAUUGAAUCUUUUCGAAUCAAAUGUAACGAAGAACCGGGGUCUGGUCCUGAACAAAUUUCACCCUUCGUUUUUUUUCUAUCUAUUACGGUUACGGUGUUGGAACGAUAACAAGGUUUUUUGGUUUCGGAGGGAUUACUCCGAACCGACAAAAUAUUUCGACUAACAGGGUGAGUUCCGGAUAGGUAUUCAUGACACCGAUACAAAGUGAGAACAUGAAAGCGACACGUCUUACGGUUUAGGCUGCUAACUUCGUCAAAGUUUGGCGGAAAAAGAAUAAUAAUAAACAGAAGAAAUACAGUAAGGUCUUUCCUUAUAGAAAAAGGAAAGACCUUAAUUAUAAAGCUUUAAAAAUAAAUCAAUAUUUACAUCAAUUCUCUGAGGGCCGUUCCAUGUAAAUUGAUAUGAAAAUUGACUUAAAAAUCCUAACACAACCAAAAUAAUUUGUUCUUGUAUUAUAAUAUUUCAAAAAUUUGGCAUCAUCCAAUGGACAUUCAAUCAUAAAUAACCAACUAAAAAUGGUCAAAAUUUCUUCCCUACCCUCCACAUUCAAUUAAAUGGAAUAGUGGAUCAACAGCAAUUAACAAGACAUUGGGAGGUUAAAAUCAAACACUUCUUACAUUUUUUUACAUUCAACUGACAGAGAUGUCAAUCCUUAUUGAUGCAACAAUAAAAAUUCACAGCAUAAAUAUUUAAAGGAGAUGGGUUGCUUGGACUUUUCUUUACAAUUUCUUUAUUCUCAGGAGUUGAGAAUAUAAAUAAACAUUCCAGCACUUAUUCAUAUUUCAAAUAAUCCCUUCAAUAACCAGAAAUUACGCAGCAAAGUCUAAGCGUUAUAUUAUUUAUAUGCCUAACCCUCUUAAUCAGUUGAUCAGUAAUGAUGAUGAUUUCAAAUAUUAACAAGUUUAUUAAAUCUUUGGCUAAAAAAAAAGUACUGUUAAAUCAAAUUGUUUAUAUGAAGUAUACAACUUUAAGCAAGAAGCAAGAAACUAAGCAAACUAUGAGGGACCGGACAAGACAACUUUUCCCUAUCUCACAUACUACCUUUCUGAUUUUCUAUCACCUUUUCAUUCAUCUUUCAUUACUCUAUCUAACAUCCUCAUGCUUGGAGACUUCAUGCAAAUGCCC
rnacentral:lncRNA from 1 species